rnacentral:tRNA from 1 species
GCCGGGGUGGUGAAACUGGUAGACGCGCUGGACUCAAAAUCCAGUGGGGGCAACCCCGUGCGGGUUCGAGUCCCGCCCCCGGCA